CCUGCCUCACUGUACCCUCACACUGCCAUGGCAUCAUUCUGCUGAUACUUCCAGUGCUAAAUAUAAGUUCAGGCUUGAAGAAUUAGAUCAUACUCCCUAACUUUAGUUUCCUUUUCAUCACACUGGAAGGUGUGUCUUGCUUAAGUACCUGGUUAAAUAUCUCCUGGCUGUUCAGCAAGGACUGUUGUCAAAGCAAAGUAGCCUGUACAUUUUCUUUCAUCACUGUUAGGGUAUAAAUUAACUUGUAAAGCGCAUCGUUCCUAACAACAUAAAAAAUAGGCCUCAUAGUGAAGGGCAUCAUCAAAUGUAUGCAAUUAAACACAUCAUCUGCAUUUGCAGUGAUAGUCUCUGAACAUCCUGCAUUUAGAAUGAGUUGCACUGGAAACAGCAUGAGAAAAAUGUAGCCACCACUCCUAGGAGCCACAGUGACUGGGAUUGAACCUUGCGUAUGGAUCUACUUUCUCCCCCAAGGCAAACAAAACUGCCAUCUGACUUUAUUGUUUCUGAUACAAACUCUCAUAAGCUGGGGAGACUUCUAGAUGAACUGGCAACCCGGACAUGAAAUCAAUGGCACAGGCAGUAGCAAAGGGGAACAGGAUUGCCCCUCUGAGAAGAAUAGGACAGACCAUAUAAUUCGACAUCUGGGAUCUAGGAAGACCCCCAGUUGAGGGUACUAUUGAAAUUCAAAACCAAGAAAGAAGUGUGUGAGGGGGAACCCUGCAAUAGCUGCAAUUGUGAUGCCUGCCUUGUUUAUGAUUAAAGCUGAUUAAAAAUGCAAAAAGUACAUUUCAUUGUAAAAAACAGUGAACUGGAAGAGAGGAAAGAAAAGGAUUUAGGAUUCAAUUUUGCAA
rnacentral:lncRNA from 1 species